GUGGUCGUCAUGGACCGGAAGCGUGUGCGGCGCGCCUGCCUUGAGGCCAGCAUCAGGGAAGGGUGUCCCAGGUGCAGGCGAAGCUUCCUUCAGGUGCUCCUGGAGGACUUUUGGCUCGCAAGCGCUUCUCCAUUCUCCCAACGUCUCGGGCCUGAUGUUAUCAUCUCCCUAUCCUUGGCUGCACCUGAAAAGAGCAGGAGCCGGCAGGUAACCCGAUCGCCUCCCCCAGGAGGUGAAGUGAAAUCUGCAAGAGUCCUGCUCGUUCAAGGCCUGCAUACAGGAAAGAAGCAGGGGAAAAGCGUUAGAAACAGCUUUUGUUCUACAGCAUUUUAAAAUAUAAUAGGUAUAUUGAAAAGUCUGAUUCAGUUACAAUCAGUGUAUGGAAUCACAAGAAGAUCCAUAAGAAACAAGGUGCUGGAUUUCUCCGUUGUGUUCGUCUUUUUCCAGUGCCAUCAACCACCUCAAAGACACUGGUUAUCAGAGGUUGGAUUUAUGCAAACUUGGGCCAAAGGACAGUUAGAAGACAGUAGUAAGUCUUCAGUCCAGGGACCAAAUCGGCACAGGAGGACAAGUUGUGGACUGCAGUCAUUUAUUUGAUAAUGAUUUACCAGACAACUGAAGAAGCAUCUGUAGGGAAUCCAGAAGGAGCAUUCAUGAAGAUGUUACAAGCCCGGAAGCAGCACAUGAGCACUGAGCUGACUAUUGAGUCGGAGGCGCCCUCAGACAGCAGUGGCAUCAACUUGUCAGGCUUUGGGAGUGAGCAGCUAGACACCAAUGACGAGAGUGAUGUGAUCAGCUUGAAAUUCAGCUAACCGAGCAGCUACGGUCCCUCAUCCCCAACGAGGAUGUGAGAAAGUUCAUGUCUCAUGUUAUCUGGACCUUGAAAAUGGAAUGUUCAGAAACACAUGUGCAAGGGAGCUGUGCCAAGCUCAUGUCGCGAACAGGCCUCCUGAUGAAGCUUCUCAGCGAGCAGCAGGAAGCAAAGGCAUUGAAUGUAGAAUGGGAUACGGACCAACAAAAAACAAAUUAUAUUAAUGAGAACAUGGAACAGAAUGAACAGAAAGAGCAGAAGUCAAGUGAGCUCAUGAAAGAAGUUCCAGGAUAUGACUAUAAGAACAAACUCAUCUUCGCAAUAUCUGUGACUGUCAUACUAAUAAUUUUGAUUAUAAUUUUUUGUUUUAUAGAGGUAAAGACAAUAAUUAAUUCAGGUUUUCAAAAUACAAUCCUGUGUUUGUGUGGAUUCAGAAUCCACAAACUGAAAACCAACGUCACUUUCCCACUUGACAUUCUUCUUCUGUCAUUUAAGGCUGAGGUGUGCUUUGUUCUUUUACUGCAAUGUAUAUUCCAGGAUUGUUAAAGGAUCCUCGCUUCCAGGAGGUCUCUGUGAAAUAAAACCAAGUUAAUCCCACUA
rnacentral:lncRNA from 1 species